rnacentral:rRNA from 1 species
GAGGAAUAUUGGGCAAUGCCCGCAAGGGUGACCCAGCAACGCCGCGUGGAGGAUGAAAGCCGUAAGGUUGUAAACUCCUGUGAGAGGGGACGAAUGAUUACGUAUCGUAAGGUGCGUAAAGUGACUGUACCCUCAGAGGAAGCCCCGGCUAACUACGUGCCAGCAGCCGCGGUAAUACGUAGGGGGCAAGCGUUGUCCGGAUUUACUGGGUGUAAAGGGCGCGUAGGCGGGUUGAUAAGUUAGAGGUGAAAUCCUGCAGCUUAACUGCAGAACUGCCCCUAAUACUGUCAAUCUUGAGUUCAGAAGAGAGAAGCGGAAUUCCAGGUGUAGUGGUGAAAUACGUAGAUAUCUGGAAGAACACCAGUUGCGAAGGCGGCUUCUUGGUCUGACACUGACGCUGAGGUGCGAAAGCGUGGGGAGCAAAC